GUGAUCAAGGCCCAAGAUAUUGUUUAUUCCAUGGACAUAUAACAUGAGUGAAAAAUGUCUUUGUCACUGCAAAUUAAGAUGGCAGAAUAGAAGGACUGGAGCUCAAUGUCUCUCAUAAAAACAACAAAACUACAACCAAAUGCUGAGCAACAUUCGAUCAAAUGGACUGGAAACUUUCAAAAAGACAUCCUACUCCAGAAGACAAAGAAGAAGCCACAUCAAGAGGUCCCCAUCAGCUCAUCUCAGUGCCCCAACCUGAGUUCCAGAAGGAGAGAGAGCAUCACAUUGGCCCAACUCAUCUCUACCUGCACAGUAAGAUUUAGGAUGGAAUGAACAAAUAGACCGUGGAGCAUUCUCAAGAGACAAUGAGUGUGGUGAGGAGUCUGAUCAUCACUGUGCUUAUCCUCAGGCUUAUCCUCUUUUCCUCUGCCUUGGAUAGAAAUGGAAAGUGGGUAUGCAAGUGUGCAUGUUUGCGUGUGCGUGCAUGCACCUGUGUGUGCAUGUGUGCGCCUGUGUGUGUGUGUGUGUGUAUGUGUGUAUGCACAUGCUUGCUUGCUCCCUUCUGCUGAACCAUUUCUCCAUAAUUCUCAGAGGGAGUGGCCUUAUGAAGGCACAAGAAAGAUGGUGGAAGAGGGAACAUUCCUCCUACAAAAAAGAAUUCAAAGCACAGCUGAAUGGAGGGCUCCACCUCAUAUCCUCCUCACCUUAAGAACAAGGAUAAUAGAAGAGCUCUCAUUUGGAAUACAGACACUCAUGAUGGCAAGAGAAAAAGACUUCUGGGGAGGUCUUACACCCACAAGGAAAUGCUCCCGUGAGGAAGUGAUGCAUGUUACUUCUGUUUGA
rnacentral:lncRNA from 1 species